rnacentral:lncRNA from 1 species
UCCAUACAAAAAGAAGGAACCGCUUGAAACAAAAAAUGAUGAAUGAUGUUGUAUUUGUCAUGGCUAAUUCAAGAUUGUCCAAAAAAAAGAAAGGGAGAAGAACAUUUGAGAUAUAGUUCAAUGACCUUGGAUCUGAUGAUGAUUGGCUUAUGGACGAAGAUGGAGACAUUGAAAUUUCGGAUGAAGACUUUAUUCAAAUGAAUCAAGAACAAAUUCAAGAGGAUGAUAUUUUUGUUCAUGAUUUGGAAGAUGAACAUGAUGGAGGGAUAAAUGAAAAUGAAUUUGAUGAUGACUUUGAAGAUGAAAAUGAAGAUGAAGGAGAUAAUGAAGACAAUGAUGAUCCAUUGAAUGAUUAUGACCAACUCCAACAUGAAUUGUUUAGAAAUUGAGUGAAUUAUCAUUAAGUUUUUCUUAUAAGUUUUCAAUUAUUAUUUGCUAUUGUUUUGAAUGUUGUGGUGUUUUGGAGUUGUCUUGAAUUAGUUUUAAUGAAUAUUAUCCUAUGAAAUUUCAGUUUUUAAAAGUAAUUUUAGUGUUAUUUGAAUUUUAUUUUUAUAUUAUGUAGUGUCAUAUGCAUAUUAUUAAUCUAUAUGCAAUAUUUUAGUGUUAUUUGAAUUUUAUUUUUAUAUUAUGUAGUGUCAUAUGCAUAUUAUUAAUCUAUAUGCAAAAUAUAUGUGAAUUUUUAAAUUUGGUAGGAUCUUACGAUCCGUGUUACGAUCCCCCGGUUCACGAUCUAAUU